GCUGGGUGUGGUGGUGCAUGCCUGAAUCCCAGCACUUGGGAGGCUGAGGCAGGAGGAUCACUGCAAGUUCGAGACCAGCCUGGGCUACAAAGUGAGCUCAAGGCCAGCCUGAACUGCAUAGCGAGACCCUAUCUCAUAAAAAGACAAAAAAAAAAAAAAAAAAAAACAAACUAGGAUUAGAGGUCCC
rnacentral:lncRNA from 1 species